UCCAGACUCCUACGGGAGGCAGCAGUGGGGAAUAUUGCACAAUGGGGGGAACCCUGAUCCAGCGACGCCGCGUGAGUGAAGAAGUAUUUCGGUAUGUAAAGCUCUCUCAGCAGGGAAGAAGGAGGACGGUACCUGACUAAGAAGCCCCGGCUAACUACGUGCCAGCAGCCGCGGUAAUACGUAGGGGGCAAGCGUUAUCCGGAUUUACUGGGUGUAAAGGGUGCGUAGGCGGUGUAGCAAGUUAGAAGUGAAAUACCUAGAGCUUAACUCAGGUGCUGCUUCUAAAACUGCUAUACUUGAGUGCAGUAGAGGAAAGUGGAAUUCCUAGUGUAGCGGUGGAAUGCGUAGAUAUUAGGAGGAACAUCAGUGGCGAAGGCGACUUUCUGGACUGUAACUGACGCUGAGGCACGAAAGUGUGGGGAGCAAACAGGAUUAGAUACCCCGGUAAAA
rnacentral:rRNA from 1 species